UAUGCCCCCCCCAAAAUUAAAUCAAACCUGAAAGUACCACAUCACUCCUUACCGGGAGGGAUGAGAAGCUUCGACAAGGUUCGAGUCUCAUGCAAUGAGACAACGCGCUUCAGCGCGGCCCGAAGGGUGAGUCGCAAUGCGACGAAUAAUCCUUCCCCCACCACCA
rnacentral:misc_RNA from 1 species